rnacentral:rRNA from 1 species
UGAGUUUUAAAGGGCCGCGGUAUUUCUGACCGUGCGAAGGUAGCAUAAUCAUUAGUCUUUUAAUUUGAGGCUCGUAUGAAUGGUCGGACGAGGGAUAAACUGUUUUCAAAUAAAAAAAUCGAAUUUAACCUUUAAGUGAAAAGGCUUAAAUACCUCAAAAAGACGAUAAGACCCUAUAAAUCUUAACAUUAAACCCUGUGUUAUUCUAGCUCAUUAGUGUAAAGAAACYCACCGAGAAAAUGUUGUGUUGGGGCAACAAAGAUAUAUCAAUYAACUGUCUUAUUAUUCAAACAAAAAUCAUUGAAUCURUAUAGAUCCUUAUUAAAGAUUUAAAGAUCAAGUUACUUUAGGGAUAACAGCGUCAUUCUUUUUAAGAGUCCCCAUCGAAAAAAGAGUUUGCGACCUCGAUGUUGAAUUAGAAGAUCU